UCGAUUAUGGCUCAGAUUGAACGCUGGCGGGAUGCUUUACACAUGCAAGUCGAACUGGCGCACGGACUUUCGGUCUGGUGGCGAGUGGCGAACAGGUGAGUAAUGUAUCGGAACGUGCCUAGUAGCGGGGGAUAACUACGCGAAAGCGUAGCUAAUACCGCAUACGCCCUUCAGGGAAAGCGGGGACCUUCGGGCCUCGCACUAUUAGAGCGGCCGAUAUCGGAUUGGCUAGUUGGUGGAGUAACGGCUCGCAAGGCGACGAUCCGUAGCUGGUUUGAGAGGACGACCAGCCACACUGGGACUGAGACCUGGCCCAGACUCCUACGGAGGCAGCGAUGGGGAAUUUUGGACAAUGGGGAAACCUGAUCCAUGCAUCCCGCGUGUGCGAUAGAGGCCUUCGGGUUGUAAAAGCACUUUUGGCGGGAAAGAAACGGCACGGGAUAUUACCCCCGUGCAACUGACCAGUACCUGCAGGAGCCAGCACCAGCUACUUCACGAUGCCAACAGCCGCGGUAAUACGUAGGGUGCAAGCGUUAAUCGGAAUUACUGGGCGUAAAGCGUCGCAGGCGGUUCGGAAGAAAGAUGUGAAAUCCCAGAGCUUAACUUUGGAACUGCAUUUUUUUAACUACCGAGCUAGAGAGUGUCAGAGGGUGGAAUUCCGCGUGUAGCAGUGAAAUGCGUAGAUAUGCGGAGGAACACCGAUGGCGAAGGCAGCCUCCUGGGGAUAACACUGACGCUCAUGCACGAAGCGUGGGAGCAAGCAGGAUUAGAUACCCUGUUAGUCCACGCCCUAAACGAUGUCAACUAGCUGUUGGGGCCUUCGGGCCUUGGUAGCGCAGCUAGCGCGUGAAGUUGACCGCGCCACAGGGCGGUCGCAAGAUUAAACUCAAAGGAAUUGACGGGGACCCGCACAAGCGGUGGAUGAUGUGGAUUAAUUCGAUGCAGCGCAACUCGUCAUUUGGGAGUGCUCGCAAGAGAACCGGAACACAGGUGCUGCAUGGCUGUCGUCAGCUCGUGUCGUGAGAUGUUGGGUUAAGUCCCGCAGCGAGCGCAACCCUUGUCAUUAGUUGCUACGAAGAAAAGGGCACUCUAAUGAGGACUGCCGGUGACAAACCGGAGGAAGGUGGGGAUGACGUCAAGUCUCAUGGCCCUUAUGGGUAGGGCUUCACACGUCAUACAAUGGUCGGGACAGAGGGUCGCCAACCCGCGAGGGGUGUCCAAACCCGAUCGUAGUCCGGAUCGCAGUCUGCAACUCAUGCGUGAAGUCGGAAUCGCUAGUAAUCGCGGAUCAACAUGUCGCGGUGAAUACGUUCCCGGGUCUUGUGCACACCGCCCGUCACACCAUGGGAGUGGGUUUUACCAGAAGUAGUUAGCCUAACCGUAAGGAGGCGAUUACCACGGUAGGAUUCAUGACUGGGGUGAAGUCGUAGCAAGGUAA
rnacentral:rRNA from 1 species